UUCAAAUAAUCUAUUUAGUUCAGUUGGUAAAUUGUGUUAAAGUUUUAUAUAAUUCAUGAUAAUCAAAUCUUGCUUUCCAAAAAAUUGAAAGCUAGUUGCCUGCUGACACUUUUUCUACUAGAUUUUUGCCUUUGCUUUAAAUGGUUACAAUGACAUCUAAAUUUCUUAGUCUUUUUAGAGCUUCAUUUCUAUAUGGGCUCCAGUUGUUUUAGUGGAAGAACAAAUUGAUGGGAAAAAAAGUUACUGAAUGAUAUGUCUUUGCUAAGGUGUUUAUGCAUGAUCUUGAUUUCAUCUUGUUUGAUGUGUGCUUCCAAAUUUUCUUAAAAUGUUCAAUGAGAUGCAAAUGAAAACCUUUUUCACACAAGAAAGUCAUUUUUGAGUCAAACAUAAAAGGGCAACAUUAUAGUAGUCUGUCUUCAAGAUUCAUUUAUUUAGUCAAUUUUCAUUUGUAUAUUUGCAAGGGUUAUUACUCUCCCUGCAUUUAUCCGGUCAGGAGUAGCAAUUUUAGGUUACAUAUCGUUCACGUGUUUUUCAAGUAGUUGCAAUUGAAUGUUUGAGUACUUGUAUUGCUAAAAAGACUAAUUAAAGCCCAUUAUUUGAAACCUCAAAAGAGAAGUUAAUUUUCAUUUAGUAUGGAGUUUUGGUGAUUGGUAUGGAGAUAUUGACGUGUUCUUACCUUAUAUCUUUGAUAGACAAUCGAGGAUCUAGUAAUUUUCAGAAUUUAACUUUUUAACUUUUUUUUUUUUUAGUUAGACUUAUUUUUGUAAAUUGAGUUUAUUUAUUUAUUUGUGUUAGUAGGUUUUAUGUUAUAGAUUUUUUUCCCUAUUUGUUCAGGUCUUUGCCACUGUCUAAGUAAGGCCUGUAUCUUUAAUUUUUUAGUAGACUUGAUUGAUUAUUGGAAUAAUCAUAUUAUUGUUUUCUCCCCCAAAUCUCUCCCUUUCACUUCCGAUGCUUCUAGUUUAAUUUAGGGAUGAGGCAGUAAUUUUCAACUAGUAAGAGUAUAUGGAGCCUUGCAUUGAACAGUAGGUUGCCGGCAGAGAGGCUUCACUCAUGAUUCAAUAUUACUAGACUUUAAUUUCAUAAAAUAGGUUUCCAUUUUUAUUAGUUUAGUAUUACAUGGUUGGAGUCCCAUCAGUAGAGGAAAUGGUUUGUGAAGUUGUGGAAGUCGGCUCUUUUUGAAGGAAUGCAAGGGCUUUAGAUUCAUGAAAAGUUAGAUUUGAUAAACCUAAGCAUAAACUAUAAAGGGAUGCAAUGGGAGAAUUGGGAUGUGAAAAAGGAAAAGUGACAUUGGAAACAUGAUUGCUAAUGUGGAUAAUUUAGAGGGCGAGGUUAGGUUGGAUAAAGAGUUACCGAACAAAGGAGCAAACUGAAUAAAGUUUGAAUAAAUUGUGUUUAAAGAAGGAAUUUGUGGAGAUUGAAACUAAAAGCUCAAUAUGCCAAAGGAUGAGACAGUGUCUCCAGAUUGCUUCUAGUAUUUUGUACCCUUUUAUCAUCGAUAGGAUCAUUAAAGGAGCAUGGUUGGUCCAAGCUUAGCUCAGGAACGAUGACAAAAGUUUGAUGGUCAAUGACGACAGAAGUUUGAUGGUCAAUUAGUAGUCAGUGGAUCUCUGUUGGUCUUCAAGAAUUUACUUUUAAUUGAAAGGGUGUUACAUGGAUCUGCUCUUAUGUUGAUAAGUCUCUCAUUGUCUCUAAAUUUGAAGUAACCGUUCUUUCCAUCCUUCCCUCCUUGUUUUUGCUAAACAAUUUAUACAUCUUUUAAAAAGAAUUUAACAGCCAACCCUGAAAAACCCCAAUAUGCUUUUCCUAAGCCAUGUCCAUAGAAAUAGUUUCUUGGCUUGAGAUUGUACUAGUGUUCAAUCGAAGCCCAAGGUGCAUUAUAGUCAAACAUUACAUAAAUUUCAAAGAAAAAAAAUUUAGCUUUAAGGUGAUUAACUGAGCUAGUUUGGGGAUCCUAUUACUGAACUUGGAUGUUCUUGUUUGCAGCAACUAUGAUAACUAAACUAAAAUAUUGUUAUUAAUUUUAGAAUGAGGUACCUAACAAUCUCAGUUUGUUUAGGUUUCUUCUUUAUAUUCUAAUAAGUCCGCAAACCUUGUGGUCCCUAUGGAUUUUCUGCUUCUAUUUGAGUUAUAAAUUAUUGAGUACUUUUGGAUUUUUGGAUUUUUCAUUUGUAAAUUCUAUUGCUUGUGCAAAGCAAAAGUAGUUCUAACUGUCCUCUUCUAAAUAUGCAAAUGAAUUUUUGGAGGAAUUUGUAAAACAAAAUUUCCUUCCUCUAUCUGUGCCUAUAAACCACGACACACUGAAGUUGCUGAAAGGUGGUAAAAGGAAAAUUGUUCUGACAUUGGUGGAGGAUAAGGCUGAUGAGAAGUCAGAGAAAUUGAUCACACUGCUGAAGGCUGCUGCUUCUGCAAAUCGUGACAUAGUUUUUUCAUAUGUUGGAAUUAAACAGUGGGGAGGCUUUGCUGAUACAUUUGGGGUCAACAAGAAGUCAAAAUUGCCAAAAAUGAUCGUUUGGGAUGGCGACGAGGAGUACUUAACCGUUGUGAAAAUGCAAGAUUACUUUUUUGGUAAAGCACAAUUUGGAAUGGAAGAUGGU